CUAUACAAAAACUUGUCCAGUGCAAUAUUUAAGUAAGUUAAAAACUUAAAAUAAAAUAAACAAAUAGGAUGAAAAAUCGUAACUUAUCUGGCAACCUUAGUCCUAACUAAAGUAGCAACGCUACUUGAGUUUGGCAGGAGACAAGUUCACCGCGCAAAGUUGCUACUAAAUGGUAAUUCAACUAUGAAGCGACGGUUUGAGUCUGGAGCUGAGAAGAAGAAAAAGAAGCAGAAAGAUGAGGCCCAUGCAUCCCUUUCUGUAGAGACAAUAAAGGACAGCAACAUCAGAGACAGACAAUGGAGGGCAGCAACAUCAGAGACAGACAAUGGAGGGCAGCAACAGAGACAAUGGAACAAAGCAACAGACAACUGAGUGGGGAGCAACAGACGAAGAAAUAAGGACAACAAGCAAUAAGGCAACAACAGAUUCACAACAAACUUAUAAUGAAUA